rnacentral:rRNA from 1 species
GUACACUCCUACGGGAGGCAGCAGUGGGGAAUAUUGCACAAUGGGCGCAAGCCUGAUGCAGCGACGCCGCGUGGGGGAUGAAGGCCUUCGGGUUGUAAACUCCUUUCGCUAGGGACGAAGCUUUUUUGUGACGGUACCUAGAUAAGAAGCACCGGCUAACUACGUGCCAGCAGCCGCGGUAAUACGUAGGGUGCGAGCGUUGUCCGGAAUUACUGGGCGUAAAGGGCUCGUAGGUGGUUUGUCGCGUCGUCUGUGAAAUUCUGGGGCUUAACUCCGGGCGUGCAGGCGAUACGGGCAUAACUUGAGUGCUGUAGGGGUAACUGGAAUUCCUGGUGUAGCGGUGAAAUGCGCAGUUAUCAGGAGGAACACCGAUGGCGAAGGCAGGUUACUGGGCAGUUACUGACGCUGAGGAGCGAAAGCAUGGGUAGCGAACAGGAUUAGAAACCCGUGUAGUCC